rnacentral:rRNA from 1 species
GAUGAACGCUAGCGAUAGGCUUAACACAUGCAAGUCGAGGGGCAGCAUUAUUUUAGCUUGCUAAGAUAGAUGGCGACCGGCGCACGGGUGCGUAACGCGUAUGCAACCUGCCUGUAAUUAGGGAAUAACCCGGUGAAAGUCGGACUAAUACCCUAUAUUCUUCUUUCUCCGCAUGGGGGAGGACGGAAAGAUUUAUUGAUUACAGAUGGGCAUGCGUCCCAUUAGCUCGUUGGUAAGGUAACGGCUUACCAAGGCAACGAUGGGUAGGGGGACUGAGAGGUUGACCCCCCACACUGGUACUGAGACACGGACCAGACUCCUACGGGAGGCAGCAGUGAGGAAUAUUGGUCAAUGGGCGAGAGCCUGAACCAGCCAAGUCGCGUGAAGGACGACGGUUCUAUGGAUUGUAAACUUCUUUUGUAGAGGAAUAACGGCAGCUACGUGUAGCUGAGAUGCAUGUACUCUACGAAUAAGUAUCGGCUAA